UGAACGCUGGCGGCAGGCCUAACACAUGCAAGUCGAACGGCAGCACAGGAGAGCUUGCUCUCUGGGUGGCGAGUGGCGGACGGGUGAGGAAUAUAUCGGAAUCUACCCUUUCGUGGGGGAUAACGUAGGGAAACUUACGCUAAUACCGCAUACGAACUGAGGUUGAAAGCGGCGGACCGCAAGGCGUCGCGCGGAUGGAUGAGCCGAUAUCCGAUUAGCUAGUUGGCGGGGUAAAAGCCCACCAAGGCGACGAUCGGUAGCUGGUCUGAGAGGAUGAUCAGCCACACUGGAACUGAGACACGGUCCAGACUCCUACGGGAGGCAGCAGUGGGGAAUAUUGGACAAUGGGCGCAAGCCUGAUCCAGCCAUGCCGCGUGUGUGAAGAAGGCCUUCGGGUUGUAAAGCACUUUUGUUGGGAAAGAAAAGCGGUCGGUUAAUACCCGGUCGUUCUGACGGUACCCAAAGAAUAAGCACCGGCUAACUUCGUGCCAGCAGCCGCGGUAAUACGAAGGGUGCAAGCGUUACUCGGAAUUACUGGGCGUAAAGCGUGCGUAGGUGGUUUGUUAAGUCAGAUGUGAGAGCCCCGGGCUCAACCUGGGAAUUGCAUUUGAUACUGGCAGACUAAAGUGCGGUAGAGGAGAGUGGAAUUCCCGGUGUA
rnacentral:rRNA from 1 species